AUCAUUACCAGCUGCCGUGUUAAGCAUUGCGAAAACGCUCACGAUUCACAGAAAAAUCCAUGCUGUUCUUUGAAGGCAUUCAAGCCUUAAUAGCUAGCUGGAUGAAUGUUUAACUUCUAGGCCAGGCACUACUCUGUCCCAACAAUAAGCCCUGUACAUUGGGAAAGGUGCCGAGACAUGAACUUUGGUCUUCUCUGCAAUCCAUCUGGAGCAUUCACUGACAACAUCGACUUUGAAGUUGCACUGACCUGGCCAGCCCUGCCACUUACCAGGUUGGCUCUGUAUGGCUAAGCGUUUUCUCCUAAAAUCCCUUGAAAACUGUGAGAAGACCAUAAGAAGAUCAUAUCUUUAAUUCUAUUUCACAAGUCACACAAUAUUCCAAUCAAAUACAGAUGGUUGAGAAAAGUCAUCCAUCUUCCCUCCCCACCCUCCCACAGCCCCUCAACCACUGCCCUGAAACUUAUAUGCUGUUAUCCGCAGCUCCAUCUGGAGCAUCACAGCUACUGUCAACCCUGACGCUCUUUCUGAAAAAACACCGGAUGGACAUCAGAACUAUUUCUUUAAGGAUGUUACUGAGCCACACAGGAAAACUUGCCUUAUGAUUUUGAAUGCACGGAUCUGAUUUGACUAAACAUGAUAACUAGAGAAUCACCCAAUCUACUCCCAUUUUCAACUCUAAAUCAUCAGAGUGUCUCAAAUCCAAAGCACACACAGACCAGCCUGGCCAACACGGUGAAACUCCACCCCUACUAAAAGUAUAAAAAUUAUCCAGGUGUGGUGGCGGGCGCCUGUAAUCCAAGCUACUUGGGAGUCUGGAGGCAGGAGAAUCCCUUGAACCUGGGAGAUGGAGGUUGCAGUGAGCAGAGAUCACACCACCGCACUCUAGCCUGGGCCACAAAUCAACAACAACAACAACAACAAAAAACAAAGCGCACACAGAGACUGAGGUCCUCUUUGGCAUUGAGAAGAUGGCUAUGCAAGUCCCAACUAGCAAGUGCAAACUUCCCAGCUUCACUUCUGCCAGUGUCCCUUCACCCCUUCUCAACCCCACUGGGAGGCAGGAGGGUGCUUGACAAUAACAGCCUUGGCAUCACUCUGCCAGGGUGUAAUAGGAACUGUUACAAUUCUGAGAUUCUGUGUAAGCACUGGCCUUUCUGCCUAGAAUGCCUUCUCCUCUCUUUUUUAACUGCAUGCUCCUAUUUAUCUUUCAAAGCCCGGAAAAAAUAACACUGCACACGGGAAAUGCUCCCUUCCUACUGCAGUCAUUUAGAUGACUCUAUGCCAUUCCAUUCAUUUCUCUUUCCUACCACAGAAGUGCUUUGAGAUUUUGGAGUCAGACUGCUUGAACUUGAAUCCUGGCCCUCUCAUCAGAGACUUGACUUAUUUUAGGCAAGUUAUAUAACCAAUUUUACCUCAGUUCCUUACCCAUAAAAUGGGUCUAAUGAGAGUACCUACCACACAGAAUUUUGAUGAAAACUGAAUGAGAUGAAGGCCUUUAAGGCAGUGGUCCCCAACCCUGGGGACACAGACAGGUACCAUUUUGUGGCCUGUUAGGAACUGGGCCACACAGCAGGAGGUGAGCAGUGGGUGAGUGAGAUCAGCGUUAUUUACAGCUGCUCCCCAUUGCUCACCUUACUGCCUGAGCUCCACCUCCUGUCAGAUCAGCAGUGGCAUUAAAUUCUCAUAGCAGCACAAACCCUGUCAUGAACUGCACAUGCGAGGGAUCUAGGUUGUGCGCUCCUUAUGAGAAUCUAAUGCCUAAUGACCUGUCACCGUCUCCCAUCACCCCUAGAUGGGAGUGUCUAGUUGCAGGAAACAAGCUCAGGGCUUCCACUGAUUCUACAUUAUGGUGAGUUGUAUAAUUAUUUCAUUAUAUAAUACAAUGUAAUAAUAAUAGAAACACAGUGCACAACAAAUGUAAUGUGCUUGAAUCAUCCCCAAACCAUCCCAGUCCACGGUCUUCCACAUUUUGUCUUUUCACAAAAUUGUCUUCCACAAAACUGGUCCCUGGUGCCAAAAAGGCUUGGGACCACUGCUUUAAAGCCUUUGCAUAGUGCUUAGAAUUGAGGGGGAAAAAAAAAACAAAAACAAUGUAGCUAGUUGCUACAAUCACUAUAUUGGUGAGUUUC
rnacentral:lncRNA from 1 species